rnacentral:rRNA from 1 species
UGGUGGAGUGAUUUGUCUGGUUAAUUCCGAUAACGAACGAGACUCUAGCCUACUAAAUAGUAUGGAGAUCUUGACGUCUCCACUACUUCUUAGAGGGACUGACGGCGUUUAGCCGUCGAAAUUGAGCAAUAACA